UACCUGCAGCUCGAGUGGUGAUCGUUAUUAUUGGGCCUAAAACGUCCGUAGCCGGUCUUAUAAAUGCCUGGGUAAAUCGUAUGGCUUAACCAUACGAAUUCCGGGUAGACUGUUUGACUUGAGACCGGGAGAAGCUAGAGGUACUCCUUGGGUAGAGGUGAAAUUCUGUAAUCCUAGGGGGACCACCAGUGGCGAAGGCGUCUAGCUAGAACAGGUCUGACGGUGAGGGACGAAGCCCUGGGGCGCAAACGGGAUUAGAUACCCCGGUAGUCCAGGGUGUAAACGCUGCUUGCUUGAUGUUAGUCUGGCUCCGAGCCAGAUUAGUGUCGGAGAGAAGUUGAUAAGCAAGCUGCCUGGGAAGUACGGCCGCAAGACUGAAACUUAAAGGAAUUGGCGGGGAGCACAGCAACGGGUGGAGCGUGCGGUUU
rnacentral:rRNA from 1 species